CCAAGAUGGCGGCGGCAGAGAUGCAUCUCUCACAAGCCAAAUAGCCCACCAAGCAAUUUACAGGUGUUUUCCUCCACAAAAACUUAUUUAAGUCAAAUGUUGACAAGGUUGUAAUACAAAUGCCACCUUUUUAAAUCAUACAAUGGAGUCAGCCUGUAGUUCUGUCUACAUGCAGCUGUGAGGAACUGGCAGGUGAUUCAUGUACACUCGCGCAAGGGAUUCACCACCUGUUCAAUCACGGCACUAGCUAGCAACCUACCGGGUGGAAAUUUGAAGAGAAUAUUUAGGGCCAGCUGAGCUAAUUGAUGCCACCGAGAAAGUGAAAUUAAUUAAAACAACCGAAAGUGACAACAGAGAGGAAGAAGAAGAGAAAGGAGAAACCAGAGCUGGCUUAAGGUAAAAAAUAAUGCGAAAUUGACUGAAGUAAUUACAAAGCCAUUAUCAUGCUAAUGGUGCUGCCGCAGCUAGCAACGUUCAACACAAGUGGGAUGUCAAAAGAAACGUUUCUACAUUGACUUUCAUGGAACUUCCGAGGAGCAGAAUGUCAAGACAAGUUGGAGAAAGACGUCGUAUGAGGCUGGACUUUAACAAACCUUCAUAACUGACUACAUAAAGAAUGAACGAGCAGCUGACGUUUGAGAAGAGCUGCGCUGACAUGUCGGCCUCUGCAGUGCUUUUCUAUAGUGCUUGGGUUGCGGAUGGUCUUCAUGUCGGUGAGAACAACGUGUCUGUAGCUGCGCUCCAGUCCCUCCAUGAGCUCCAGGUAGUCGCCCACCUUGAAGCCCUGGAUUGGCUCCUCCUGCAGGUAGAUAGUGCUGACGAGGAUGUGACACAGUGAGUGCACAGUCGAUGAGUGAGUAAUUUCAGGUUGGAGACUCAUCCUGUUAACACAAUUCCUCUUUUAAUAAGACUGAAGAUUCUCAUACACAUAUAAUGACCUAUCUUGCAUUAAGCUCACACAGCAAGUUACAAGAUUAAUUGGAGGGGUCACAAGAUUAAUAACAGGAUGGGAGAGAAUCAAAAGCAUAUUCUGUUCACACAAAAUGUUUUUUCUGACUUUUCUGUAAUCCCUAGAUCCUUGAUGGCAAUGUCGGUCUGUGUACCCCACUGUGGUCCAGACUGAAAUAUUUCAACAACUAUUAGAUGGAUUUCCAUGAAAUUUCUCUAGACAAUUAUAAUCCUCAGAGAAUGAAAUGUAAUGCUAGCUCCACCAGCGGGUUGACACUUAUGCUUUUUUAGUAAAAUUUCUCAACAACUAUUUAAUGGAUUGCCAUCAAAUUUGGUGCAGACAUUCAUGGUUCCCAGAGGGUGAAUCCUCCUGACUUUAGUCAUGUUAGCAUGCUGUCGUUAGCAUUUAGUUUGUAGCAUUGCUGAGCUAAAGUAUAGCCUCAAAGAGCAGUAAGCGUGGCUGUAUACUCUAAGGAGUGGAAGGAAACGCCGCUUUGGCUGAACUGCUCACAACUCAACAACAUAUUAAACUUGAUAUGACAGGUAAUAUGUAAACAUUGCUGUGUUUUAACCACUUUUAACCACUAAGCUAGGUACAAUAAUGCUUUAUUUCAUUGGAGCUCUCGUCUCCAACCUUUUUUGAGAUAAAGAAAUGUCUACUUGUGACCCCUUGUCAAAGUGCAGAUGUCUGGGAGUCUUGAGCAGUUCAAUCGGUGAUUGAUUUUGCCUGCUGCUGCUUGCUAAAACUAUAUCACAAAAAGAGCAAAGAUUAGAAAGAAGUCAGAAAUUAUAUUAUUAAAUGUACCCAAAUUUAGUUUUUUCCCUACUAACCCUGAAAUCAUCUCGGGACCACCGCCUUAGAUCACCAAAGAUUUCCGGUUCAGGAUCUCGGUGUCCUUUAUAAGGUUAUAUUGGUAGUGUAGAAAAACCAAAGGAGU